rnacentral:piRNA from 1 species
UACAGAUUGGGCUGUAGUCUUCUA